GGAUGAACGCUGGCGGCGUGCCUAAUACAUGCAAGUCGAGCGAACAGAUAAGGAGCUUGCUCCUUUGACGUUCGCGGCGGACGGGUGAGUAACACGUGGGUAACCUACCUAUAAGACUGGGAUAACUUCGGGAAACCGGAGCUAAUACCGGAUAAUAUUUCGAACCGCAUGGUUCGAUAGUGAAAGAUGGUUUUGCUAUCACUUAUAGAUGGACCCGCGCCGUAUUAGCUAGUUGGUAAGGUAACGGCUUACCAAGGCGACGAUACGUAGCCGACCUGAGAGGGUGAUCGGCCACACUGGAACUGAGACACGGUCCAGACUCCUACGGGAGGCAGCAGUAGGGAAUCUUCCGCAAUGGGCGAAAGCCUGACGGAGCAACGCCGCGUGAGUGAUGAAGGUCUUCGGAUCGUAAAACUCUGUUAUUAGGGAAGAACAUACGUGUAAGUAACUGUGCACGUCUUGACGGUACCUAAUCAGAAAGCCACGGCUAACUACGUG
rnacentral:rRNA from 1 species